rnacentral:rRNA from 1 species
GACGAACGCUGGCGGCGUGCUUAACGCAUGCAAGUCGAACGAUGAAGCCGCUUCGGUGGUGGAUUAGUGGCGAACGGGUGAGUAACACGUGGGUAAUCUGCCCUGCACUCUGGGAUAAGCCUUGGAAACGAGGUCUAAUACCGGAUACGACACGUCACCGCAUGGUGUGCGUGUGGAAAGUUCCGGCGGUGCAGGAUGAGCCCGCGGCCUAUCAGCUUGUUGGUGGGGUAGGGGCCUACAAAGGCGACGACGGGUAGCCGGCCUGAGAGGGUGACCGGCCACACUGGGACUGAGACACGGCCCAGACUCCUACGGGAGGCAGCAGUGGGGAAUCUUGCGCAAUGGGCGAAAGCCUGACGCAGCAACGCCGCGUGGGGGAUGACGGCCUUCGGGUUGUAAACCUCUUUCGACAGGGACGAAGCGCGAGUGACGGUACCUGUAGAAGAAGCACCGGCUAACUACGUGCCAGCCGCCGCCGUAA